UACGGAGGGUGCAAGCGUUAUCCGGAUUCACUGGGUUAAGGGGCGGCAGGCGGGCCUGUAAGUCAGUGGUGAAAUACCUGAGCUCAACUCGGGAACUGCCAUUGAUACUAUGGGCCUUGAAUGACGUUGAGGUUUGCGGAAUGGGUCAUGUAGCGGUGAAAUGCAUAGAUAUGACCCGGAACACCGAUGCGAGGCAGCAG
rnacentral:rRNA from 1 species